UUAUAUUAAAGAAAAAGAAAUGAUGGCUGAUCUGACAAGAGAAAAAAAUUUGGAGACUAACAGGAUGAUAGAGAAGCAUAAGGACAAAGCUUUUGAACAAUUAACUGCACAGAUGAAUGAGAAAUUUAAGAUUGAAGAUGAUCAUCUUGCUAGAGGAGCUGCAGAGGUAGAAGUUGAGUACCAAAUGCAAAACAAAGAGAAAGAAAUGAAAAAAAAGGCUGCUCUUGAAUCUAUUGAAGCAAACAGAGUCGCUGUG